UUUUAUACAUACAUCUAAGAAACAUUAAUUUAAUAAUAGUUUCAUAUUAACAAGCAUGAACUUUUUUUCAUGCUAUAAAGCUAACAAAUGAUUCCUAUUUCUAGAUACAUAAAAGAAAAAAUAUGGUUAAAGUUUAUAUGUUUAUUUAUACUAUGAUUUUCUUCUUUUCCAUAUUUAUUUCUAUANNNNNNNNNNNNNNNNNNNNNNNNNNNNNNNNNNAAUAUCAUGUUUUUAUAUUAAUUUAUAGGGUUAAAUAAAUAUUUUAUCCCUAUAAAUACGUCAAAUGUUUUCUUAGUUCCAACAAAAAAUUUCAGUAAAUUUUAAUCCUCAAAUCUCUUUCGUACAAUUUUACGUCCCUGCUUUUAAGUCAACUAAUCUAUAUAUAGUUUUUCGUUUACAAUGGAGUGAUCCGUAAGAAUCAAACUUAGAACUUUAUAUGCAUACUAUUCAAAUCUUUUACCACUAUAGAUCAAACCUAGUGGAUUCUCAACUCAUGUAUAUUACUUGAAAUUUUUAUUAUUUUAUGCAUUCAUGGUUAGUACAUUAUAUAAACCUCUCUGACAAAAAUAUAAAUUCCCUAUCAAUCUUUUAUAAGUUUUAAUGAGUUUUUAUAUUUAUAUUUAUAUUUAUAAUAAUAUAAACAUCUCUCCCUCCAAGAUUUAGUUUUUUACAACAUAAUGGAUGAAUUAGAUAUGAAUUUUUAAGAUUUUUGCGCAUAGAAAAAUCAUAUUUAAUUCAUUUAAUAUAAAAAAUUCUAAAUUAUUGUGAAAGAGAUUUUUAUAUUAUUAUAAACAAAAAUAGAAAAAUUUAUUCAAAAAUAUCGAAGUAUACAUAAGUUGACUUAAAAAUAGGAAUCAAAAGUUAUCAAAUAAAAUAUUUGGGAGACCAAAUUAACUUGUUGAAAUUUUUUAUAUAGAUUAAAAAUAAAAUUUGAGAAUAUUUAUACGGUUCAAAAACUUGUUUAACCCUAAUUUUUAUCAAAAU
rnacentral:lncRNA from 1 species